AGAAAGAUAAACUAAAAAAGUUAUCAGGUUCAUACCCUGCUUAUAGGAAAUAGACACACCUUCUUUCUA
rnacentral:tRNA from 1 species